UACAGAGGGGGCAAGCGUUGUUCGGAAUUACUGGGCGUAAAGGGCGCGUAGGCGGCCUGUUAAGUCGAACGUGAAAUCCCCGGGCUCAACCCGGGAACUGCGUCCGAUACUGGCAGGCUUGAAUUCGGGAGAGGGAUGUGGAAUUCCAGGUGUAGCGGUGAAAUGCGCAGAUAUCAGGAGGAACACCUAUUGCGAAGGCAGCUCGCUGGGACGUUACUGACGCUGAGACGCGAAAGCGUGGGGAGCAAACAGG
rnacentral:rRNA from 1 species